rnacentral:rRNA from 1 species
CCACGCCGUAAACGAUGAGUGCUAGGUGUCGGAGGGGAACCUUCGGUGCCGCAGCAAACGCAAUAAGCACUCCACCUGGGGAGUACGAUCGCAAGAUUGAAACUCAAAGGAAUUGACGGGGGCCCGCACAAGCGGUGGAGCAUGUGGUUUAAUUCGAAGCAACGCGAAGAACCUUACCAAGGCUUGACAUCCCGACGACCGGUAUAGAGAUAUACCUUUUCUUCGGAACGUCGGUGACAGGUGGUGCAUGGUUGU